UACGUAGGGGGCAAGCGUUGUCCGGAAUUAUUGGGCGUAAAGCGCGUGUAGGCGGUCCGGUAAGUCGGCUGUGAAAGUCCAGGGCUCAACCCUGGGAUGCCGGUCGAUACUGCCGGACUAGAGUUCGGAAGAGGCGAGUGGAAUUCCCGGUGUAGCGGUGAAAUGCGCAGAGUAUCGGGAGGAACACCAAUGGCGAAGGCAGCUCGCUGGG
rnacentral:rRNA from 1 species